GACGAACGCUGGCGGCGUGCUUAACACAUGCAAGUCGAACGGAAAGGUCUCUUCGGAGAUACUCGAGUGGCGAACGGGUGAGUAACACGUGGGUGAUCUACCCUGCACUUCGGGAUAAGCCUGGGAAACUGGGUCUAAUACCGGAUAGGACCACGGGAUGCAUGUCCUGUGGUGGAAAGCGUUUAGCGGUGUGGGAUGGGCCCGCGGCCUAUCAGCUUGUUGGUGGGGUGAUGGCCUACCAAGGCGACGACGGGUAGCCGGCCUGAGAGGGUGUCCGGCCACACUGGGACUGAGAUACGGCCCAGACUCCUACGGGAGGCAGCAGUGGGGGAUAUUGCACAAUGGGCGCAAGCCUGAUGCAGCGACGCCGCGUGGGGGAUGACGGCCUCGGUUGUAACGUACACUCUACCACUCGACGAAGGUU
rnacentral:rRNA from 1 species